GCGCCCGUAACUCAGCUGGAUAGAGUGCUUGGCUUCGAACCAAGUGGUCGGGAGUUCGAAUCUCUCCGGGCGUGCCA
rnacentral:tRNA from 1 species